AUUGAACGCUGGCGGUGUGCUUCACACAUGCAAGUCGAACGCGUGGCGGACGGGUGAGUAACACGUGGGACUCUACCAUUCGGUGGGGAAUAACAGGCCGAAAGGACUUCUAAUGCCGCCUACCUUUUGAUGAGCCCGCGUCCGAUUAGCUCGUUUGUAGGGUAAAAGCCUACCAAGGCGACGAUCGGUAGGUGGUCCGAGAGGAUGAUCACCCACAAUGGGACUGAGACACGGCCCAUACUCCGACGGGAGGCAGCAGUGGGGAAUUUUACGCAAUGGGGGAAACCCUGACGUAGCGACACCGCGUGAGCGAAGAAGCCCUUUGGGGUGUAAAGCUCUGUCAACAGGAACGCGGUACCUGGGGAGGAAGCAGCGGCUAACUACGUGCCAGCAGCCGCGGUAAUAC
rnacentral:rRNA from 1 species